ensembl:lncRNA
CCGAGGCCCGCGCCCCCUCCUCACCUGCAUUCAGCGCGCCAGGGUCCGGGCGGCGGCGACGACGGCGGCGGCGGCGGGGCGGCUGCUGCUGGGGCUGCGGCGGCGGGGGAGGCGGCGGCGGCGGUGGCGGCGGGGCUGAGGGCAGUAAAGACAUGCAGGCAGCCCGCCGGGGGGAGAGGCACCGGCCGGAGGGGACGCGGGGCGGGCGGGCCGGGCCGGGCCGCCUGAGGAACCACCGAGGCGGCGGAGGGCUGCCGAAGGGAGCGCAGAGCAGACGGAUCAGGGGGCGGGGAAGGGGAACGCGGGCCGCGCCGCGCCGGACCUGGGCGACCCGGGCGCGCAGGAGAGGGCCCGCGGUCGCCGGAGACGCGGCUGCCGCUGCUGCGAGAGCCUCGCGGAGCCCGCCCUUGGCCUUGGCCUUCUGGCGCUGAGGCUGCCGCCGCUGCGGGGGUUGCUGCCGAGCCGGGUGGUUGCCGAGGCCGGGGCCGAGCAGAGAGAGAAAGACAGGGAGAGAAGAGAGACGCGAGCUUUCGGUGCCUUCGCUCUAAUUCACACACGCUCACAACCCCGAGGGCCGGGGAGAGGAGUCCGGGCGCUAUCGCUUUAGAGAUUAAUAACAAGGUGCAGAGAGUGCGAGGAAGAGGAGGAGGAGGAGAGUUGAUUGACGUGGAGGGGCUGGCGGGAGUCAGUCACUCCCCCGCGCCGAGGGGUGGGGUGAGGGAAGGGGCGGGGCUCCGGCGCCGCGGUUCGGGAGGUGCGCGUGCGUGUGGGGCGGCCAAGCUCCCGGCUGGCUUCCUUCCUCGCCCUCGCUGGUGUUUUGAAAAAAAAAAAAUCUGCUUUAUUAGAUUGAGCGGAGAGUAGAGCCGAGAGGACUUGUACGAUUAGCAAAGCCCACGCGCUUAUGGGGAUGGGGAAGGGACACGCGGGUGCUUGCACUGUUCCCCUGCCGCUGGCCCACGCAGGCCCACAGCAGAGCUCAGGGCAUUCUGGGUGGUUCAGGAGACCUCAGAGGGCCCAAAGGAUGGUGUGACACAGCUUUGUAAAGAAACAUACUCUAGACAGGAUUUCCUUUCACUAGUGGCACACUUCUAAGGAUUCAUUCUCUCCAUGAAUGUCAGCUAAAACCGUUAUUAAAAAAAUGAAAUAUCCCUAGAACAAAACCGUAUAACCACCGGAUUCACAUGAAGAUGACCUAGUGGAGACAAGCUGGAC